ACCCAACCAUUGUGUAUCUACCUCACCGUUGCCUCGGCGGGUGGCCCGGGAAACCCGGCCGCGCUGGCCCCCUCCGGGGGACCGGCAAGCCCGUCAGAGGACCGAAACUCUUCGUCAUCAUUGGCCUCUCUGAGUAACUUAUACAAUAAGUCAAAACUUUCAACAACGGAUCUCUUGGUUCUGGCAUCGAUGAAGAACGCAGCGAAAUGCGAUACGUAAUGUGAAUUGCAGAUUUCAGUGAAUCAUCGAAUCUUUGAACGCACAUUGCGCCCGCCAGUAUUCUGGCGGGCAUGCCUGUUCGAGCGUCAUUUCAACCAUCAAGCGCCUGCGCUUGUGUUGGAGCCCUGCGGCUGCCGCAGGCUCCCAAACCCAGUGGCGGGCUCGUCGUCGUACCGAGUGCAGUAAACUUACCACGCUCAGGGCACGUGACGGGUGACCGGCCGUAAAACCCCCACUUAUCAAGGUUGACCUCGGAUCAGGUAGGAAUACCCGCUGAACUUAA
rnacentral:rRNA from 1 species